UGCCAGCAGCCGCGGUAAUACGGAGGGUCCGAGCGUUAAUCGGAAUUACUGGGCGUAAAGCGUGCGUAGGCGGAUUGUUAAGUCAGAUGUGAAAUCCCGGGGCUCAACCUCGGAACUGCAUUUGAAACUGGCAAUCUAGAGUACUGUAGAGGGUGGUGGAAUUUCCAGUGUAGCGGUGAAAUGCGUAGAGAUUGGAAGGAACAUCAGUGGCGAAGGCGGCCACCUGGACAGAUACUGACGCUGAGGCACGAAAGCGUGGGGAGCAAACAGGAUUAGAUA
rnacentral:rRNA from 1 species